rnacentral:rRNA from 1 species
UACAGGGGGGGCAAACGUUGCUCGGAAUCAUUGGGCGUAAAGCGCACGUAGGCGGUCUGUUAUGUCGGAUGUGAGAGCCCUCGGCUCAACUGAGGAAGUGCAUCCGAAACUGGCAGGCUAGAGUACUAAAGAGGGUCGCGGAAUUCCCGGUGUAGAGGUGAAAUUCGUAGAUAUCGGGAGGAACACCGGUGGCGAAGGCGGCGACCUGGGUAGAUACUGACGCUGAGGUGCGAAAGCGUGGGGAGCAAACAGG